CCAAUAGCGUAUAUUAAAGUUGUUGCAGUUAAAAAGCUCGUAGUUGAAUUUUGGAUUCUGCCAUUUGGUCCAUCUUUUAGAUGAGUACUGAGUGUGUAGGGUCUAUUCGCCUGGUAAUACGUAAUGUCCUUUAUUGGAUGUUGCGGGUAGUCAGGACUUUUACCUUGAAAAAAUUAGAGUGUUUAAAGCAGGCUUAUGCCGGAAUACAUUAGCAUGGAAUAAUAGAAUAGGACGAAGUUGUUUUAUUUUGUUGGUUUCUAGGACAACCGUAAUGAUUAAUAGGGAUAGUUGGGGGCAUUAGUAUUCAAUUGUCAGAGGUGAAAUUCUUGGAUUUAUUGAAGACUAACUACUGCGAAAGCAUUUGCCAAGGAUGUUUUCAUUAAUCAAGAACGAAAGUUAGGGGAUCGAAGACGAUCAGAUACCGUCGUAGUCUUAACCAUAAACUAUGCCGACUAGGGAUCGGGCGAUGUUGUUUCAAUGACUCGCUCGGCACCUUAUG
rnacentral:rRNA from 1 species